UUUCCGUAGGUGAACCUGCGGAAGGAUCAUUCAUAAUAAGUGUUUUAUGGCACUUUUUUAAAUCCAUAUCCACCUUGUGUGCAAUGUCAGGGUUGGUUUCUUUUGAUCAGCCCCAAACAUCAACUAUUAUCUCAACUCUUUGUCUGAAAAAUAUUAUGAAUAAAACAAUUCAAAAUACAACUUUCAACAACGGAUCUCUUGGCUCUC
rnacentral:misc_RNA from 1 species